rnacentral:rRNA from 1 species
GACGAACGCUGGCGGCGUGCUUAACACAUGCAAGUCGAACGGAAAGGCCCUGCUUUUGUGGGGUGCUCGAUUGGCGAACGGGUGAGUAACACGUGAGUAACCUGCCCUUGACUUUGGGAUAACUUCAGGAAACUGGGGCUAAUACCGGAGAGGAUCUCCUGCUGCAUGGUGGUGGUUGGAAAGUGUCGGCGGUUGGGGAUGGACUCGCGGCUUAUCAGCUUGUUGGUGGGGUAGUGGCUUACCAAGGCUUUGACGGGUAGCCGGCCUGAGAGCGUGACCGGCCACAAUGGGCCUGAGAUACGGAGCAGAAUCCUACGGGAGGCAGCAGGGGGGAAUAUUGCACAAUGGGCGGAAGCCUGAUGCAGAAACGCUGCGUGCGGGAUGCCGGCCUUCGGGUUGUAAACCGAUUUCGAAUGUGACGAAGCGUGAGUGACGGUAAUGGGUAAAGAAGCCCCGGCUAACUACGUG